rnacentral:rRNA from 1 species
UACAGAGGGUGCAAGCGUUAAUCGGAGUUACUGGGCGUAAAGCGCGCGCAGGUGGGUGAACAAGUCGGAAGUGAAAUCUUGAGGCUCAACCUCGAGGCUGCUCCCGAAACUGUUCGCCUAGGGACUGGUAGAGGCUGGUAGAAUUCCCGGUGUAGCGGUGGAAUGCGUAGAUAUUUGGAGGAAUACCGGUGGCGAAGGCGGCCUCUGGGAUAAAACUGACGCUCAGGCACGAAAGCGUGGGUAGCAAACAGG